AGAGUUGAUCAUGGCUCAGGAUGAACGCUGGCGGCGUGCCUAACACAUGCAAGUCGAGCGAUCUCUCGGAGAAGAGCGGCGGACGGGUGAGUAACGCGUGGGUAACCUGCCCUGUACACACGGAUAACAUACCGAGAGGUAUGCUAAUACGGGAUAAUAUGUUUUGAUCGCAUGGUCGAAAUAUCAAAGCUCCGGCGGUACAGGAUGGACCCGCGUCUGAUUAGCUAGUUGGUGAGGUAAUGGCUCACCAAGGCGACGAUCAGUAGCCGACCUGAGAGGGUGAUCGGCCACAUUGGAACUGAGACACGGUCCAAACUCCUACGGGAGGCAGCAGUGGGGAAUAUUGCACAAUGGGCGAAAGCCUGAUGCAAGCAACGCCGCGUGAGCGAUGAAGGCCUUCGGGUCGUAAAGCUCUGUCCUCAAGGAAGAUAAUGACGGUACUUGAGGAGGAAGCCCCGGCUAACUACGUGCCAGCAGCCGC
rnacentral:rRNA from 1 species